UACGUAGGUGGCAAGCGUUAUCCGGAUUCACUGGGCGUAAAGAGCGCGUAGGUGGUCCUUCAAGUCAGAUGUUAAAUCUCCUGGCUUAACUGGGAGCUGUCAUCUGAUACUGCUGGACUUGAGGGCGGUAGAGGGAGGUGGAAUUCCCGGUGUAGUGGUGAAAUGCGUAGAUAUCGGGAGGAACACCAGUGGCGAAGGCGGCCUCCUAGGCCGUUCCUGACACUGAGGCGCGAAAGCGUGGGGAGCGAACAGG
rnacentral:rRNA from 1 species